rnacentral:rRNA from 1 species
UGGUGGAGUGAUUUGUCUGGUUAAUUCCGUUAACGAACGAGACCUCGACCUGCUAAAUAGUAUGGCGAACUCUCCGGGGUUCGUACCAAACUUCUUAGAGGGACUAUCGGUUUGUAGCCGAUGGAAGUUCGAGGCAAUAACA